GUGCUCGCUUUGGCAGCAUAUACACCAAAAUUGGAACAAUAUACGGAAGAUUAGCAUGGCCCCUGUACAAGAAAGACACUCAAAUUUGUGUUUUGUAUUUAA
rnacentral:snRNA from 10 species